rnacentral:rRNA from 1 species
UAGUCCAUGCCGUAAACGAUGGAUACUAGGUGUUGGAGGAGUCUACCCCUUCAGUGCCGCAGCUAACGCAUUAAGUAUCCCACCUGGGGAGUACGAUCGCAAGGUUGAAACUCAAAGGAAUUGACGGGGGCCCGCACAAGCGGUGGAGCAUGUGGUUUAAUUCGACGCAACGCGAAGAACCUUACCUGGGCUUGACAUGCAGGGGACAGGUGUAGAAAUACAUCCUUCUUCGGACUCCUGUACAGGUGCUGCAUGGCUGUCGUCAGCUCGUGUCGUGAAACUGUUAGGUUAAGUCCUGCAACGAGCGCAACCCCUGUCUUUAGUUGCCAUCAGGUUAUGCUGGGGACUCUAGAGAGACUGCCGGUGACAAACCGGACGGAAGGUGGGACGACGUCAAGUCAUCAUGGCCCUUACGCCCAAGGCUACACACGUGCUACAAUGGUCGGUACAAUGGGCUGCGAAACAGCGAUGUGGAGCGAAUCCCAAAAAGCCGGACCUCAGUUC